ensembl:antisense 4933431E20Rik RIKEN cDNA 4933431E20 gene
GGUGUGAAGUUCUCCCAGGGCUGUUGAUGCUUCAUCUACUCUUCUGGCAGUGGGGGCCUGGACCUUAGUUACCCGGGGAGCGUGAGUCAUGUUGCACAGUUGAGCUGGCACAUAAAACUACGAGCUCCUGCUUCCUGACCUGCUUGAGUUCCAGUCCUGACUUCUUUCAGUGAUGAACAGCAAUGUGGAAAUGUGUUCUGCCCAGUUUAUAGAACAAGGAAUUGAAGCUUGGAGAAGAUUGAUGGACCACUCAAGUUCCCUGGAUGGUCCAGGAUGCAGACUGAGGAUGGCCUAAAACAUUAGUUUUGCUGGCUCCCUGUGCUUGGCUAACUUUAGAGCCUCUUACCUUGCCACAGUCUUUUCUAUGAAGGACAGAGAGCCAAGGAGUGGACCAACAUGCCUGAGUUUACACAGUGGACCUGAGGACCGUCACCUCCCAGUGCAAUGUUCCUGUGUACUGCCACUGAAGAGACAGGUGGGAGGGAGCUCAAGGUUGACUUGCCUAACAACCAUUGCUUGAAAGACAAAGCUCCCAAGGAGAGCACAAAAUACCUCACUCGAGACACCUCUGCAUCACCAACCAGUGUGAAGAAAGCCUGCAGCUGUCAGCAGAGUAUUCUUUGUCUCGGUGACACGCUGUGCCUACAGUUGGACUAGAAACUUUGGAUUAGGGUGUGAGUCGUGCCCCAUAGGACAGAGGUGGUGCAUGUAGCCUCAUUUUGGAGUUUAUUUAGAGAGGAGAAAGAAUGUACCAUAGUCCCCAAAGGCUCUAGGUUACAGUGAAUUCUCUUUAGUUCAGUUAUAGUUUAGUUUAGCUUGGUUUGGUUAGCUGUGGUUCCGUUCUGUUCCGUUCUGUUCUGUUCGGUUCAGUUCGGUUCAGUUGCAGAGUUGUUGCUCUUUCAUGCUUUGUAUCCCAACUCCCUGCUCUCUCUUGGCUUUGGUUCCCAUCAGGUCCAGAAUAAAUGGCAAGGAGAGGGUCAUAGAACAAGUUAAACGAUGCUUUUUAUUGGCAGGAUUGGGACUAAAGAGAUCAGGAGUAAGACUGGGAAUAAGUAUGCCAACUUAGGGUGUGGGGUAAAAUAAAUAGUAACCGGUGAGGGUCUCCAACCCAAUGAGAUACCAUUUGCCUCAGUGUCUGGACCUGUUCAUCUUCUUGGCUUUGUGAUCCAGGAUAUGUGGCUUGCCACUAACUGAAAGAGGACUUCCAAGGGCUCUAACUGGGUACCAAAUACUCCAUCUUGCACAUGAGAGGUCCUUGGUCUUAGAGGUAUUCGAGCUGGUCUCUAAUGAGUCAUCUGAAGGGAGAAAACAAUUCAGAUGGGGCUGGUUCCUAGUGAGGGACUCCCCAGAGUUUAUACCACCAAUGCGAUUAGAACUUCAAGACACACCUGAACGGAUGGAGCUGAGUCCCCAGAGGAAUAGCCCAUGCCUAGUGUCCCCAGCUCUCCCUUUCUCACCCCAGGAGAAUUAAAUUCCUCUGAAUAGGAGUCAGGAUCCCAGAGCUUCCUCACCCCCAGCAUCCUUCUGACAGCGUCCAGCCGGGCCUGGAUCCGUGGAGCCUCCUGUGGACACAGCAUCUGCAGCUCCCCAGGUCUCAUGUGAAGUAGCUGGCUUCCCAUUAGGGACCCGAGGGUCCUUACAGUGCUGUAAAUAACAAUGGUAGAAUCCACCAGAAGUAGGGUGGGCAGAUUCUAGGUCUUAGUAUUUGUGUAGAGAAGGAAAGUUGGGGUUACAGGAAUUAGGUAUCUGCAGGUACAGGGAUACACCUAGUGGUUUGGUCUCAGUGAACCACAGAAUUCCGAGAUUUGAGGGCAGAAACACUUUAAAAAAGACUGGUCUGGAAGGGAAGGGUGGCUAAGGUGGGCAGCCUAAGUUCUUCCAGAAUUUGCUACCCUUGACUCUUUCUCUUUCACUACAUAUGGCCUCUGCACUGGGUGUCCUACCCUAGGCUCAGACAAGCAGCUUUCAUUCAGCAGAGAAAGCCUAAGAUGGAGUCAUCAAGUACAGUGGAAGCUAGGUCGCACUCUAUAACUCUGAGAGUGAAUGGAGCCUGUGGUUCUCCCAUUUACAGGGCUUACCGCCCCUCAUCCCCCAGGGGACUGGUCACUCACACAGUGGAGAAGUUCUCUGCUUGUAGCCAGGCUGUAACCUCCUCAGGCUUUGAGCUCAGGCGAAGCAUUGGGGCCUGGAAUCAAGGAGCACUAGAAGUCAGAGGUCAUCCCAUCUUACAAACAUACACAGCCUCCUGUAUUGGGUCCCUUCUACUGAGAUCCCAUCAGGAUGCUUAUCUCACCUUCUGGUUUCCUAGUUCGGCAGGGACGCUCACCUAAUCUUUGUUCAGACCCUAUAAUGAACUUGGCACCGAGGAAGCAUGCAAUGAUAUUGAUUAAACUGAACUAAGAUUGUCUCUGUUUGUCACCUAAUCCUCCCUACUACCACUUCUGACUUCUGACUUCUGACUUAGGACUCAGGGCUUCUGGGUACCCCAGCGUGGGAAGUACCCUAAAGGAUGGUUGUCGGUGGCCUCUCGGGGCUCCAGCUGGCAGGGGCUCCAGGAUAUUGCUGGGAAUGUAACCAGUCAGUCCUGCUUCGUUCUUCACCAGCCACCAUCGCUUGCUCUGAUCCAGAACCUACCGAGAAUCACCACAUUAGCCCCCAGAGCCUCCAUCCUCCCAUCCCCUCUGCCCCCAAGACCGUGUCUUUCCCCGCCUGACCUUUCCCACUUUCCUUCUCUAUCUGUAAGUCACCCACUCCAGGCUAAUUGUACUUCCCACCCAUUGCCUCUUUUUUGGCUUCAAGCAUGGGCCUCACCUCCAGAAUCUCCCCCUGUGCCACAGUCAGUUCCUGGGCAUUCCUUGCUUCAAACUCGUACAGGACUUGCAUUUUCAGGGCUGCUCUGCCAGGGCUGGGGCUGGAGAGUGGGAGGUUUGAGUCCUCGUAUUCAGGGUUAUGGUUGUAUGGCUCAUCCCGAGGGAAAUGUAGGCUGCUCCUCAUCCUAGAACCUCUGACAUGAGAGACAGAUUCAGGAUGGAUGGAGAAUAGGAAUUGUGCCCCCAGCCAAUGGUCUCUGGGAUUCACAGGUGCAAAAGUUCUGUCCUGACCCUCCCUCCCUGGGACCUCAAGAAUCCACUAAGCAUGUGACUGACAUACCGGAGGGAAAUCGAAUCCUGGUUUGUUAUGGGCAUCUGUAAGCAAGAAAACCAGAAUGAGUUAGAAUGGGAGGCAGCCAGCACAGUGGCAGGGAGGGGCUAACUAACCAGCCCAGUACAGGCCUGCAACAGCUGCCUUUUGUCCAUUGCUCACCUCCCCAACAGGUACCCAUAUAACCCACCUCGUAGUUGUGAUUUUGAUCUGGACUGGAAAUGCUUUUCAUAGAUCUCAGAGCUAAGCAACCCUUACCAUGGAGCGGGGCUGUGGAAUCUGCCAGCCAUCGUAGAAUGUGGGUUGGUAGGGUGGCGGUUCACUGCCUGUCCAGUCAGCCCUGAGGGGAGAGCAAAGCUGAGUCUAGGGCCACUGUGUAGCAGCCUGUAGGAUGUGGAAAGGGAGAAGAUGAGAAGACCUAGCCUCAGGGAUGUGUGGCUAACGGGGAUGUGGUGCGUGUGUAUACAGAUGAAAAGCUACAGGAAACCCACAAAGGAGCAAAUGGUUUCACAGGAACAUGUCUAACAGUGUAAGCAUCAGUGGGCAGCCUCAUCUUGAUUCCUAAGUACAGCUAUGUUGCCUCCCUAGAAUUAAAGUAAUUUAAUCUGGAGUAUUGGGGCUGGAAGACCCCUUUGGAGACUUGCAAAAACUGACCCUACCCCUUCUUAUUUAUUUGUUUAUUUAUUUAUAUUGAAAUAGAUUUUUUCAUAC